AUGGCUCGGCGCGGAGAGGAGGGGAGGGGAGGGGAGGGGGGAGAGGAGGAGAAGGGCUUUCGCGGGGAGCCCCCACGCAGAGGGAGGCGGAGGCAGCUGCGGCCGGCAGAGCCCCUCGUUCACCCCCUUCCUGUGGCUUUUUCCACGUCAUGGAACAUUCCCGGAACGGGCCAACGUCCCACCCACUUCAGGGAACAGACACAGAGGCGCAACACACACACAGCUCGCCUUCCUCCUCCCCUUGCUCCCCCCCCCUUUCCUCCGGUCCAUAGCCGUCGCCUCCCCCGCACGGCCAGCUGCUGCUUGCCGCCAGCUUCCUCCUCUUCCUCGCCCCCUUCCUCCUCCUCCUCCUCCUCCUCCUCCUCCUCGCAGGCAGAAAGAGAACGCGCACUCUGCCAAGUCACCCUUCUUCCGACGCAGGGCGGGCUUCGGCUUGGGGGCUCGGGUGGCCACCUUCCCUUCCUCCCUACCUGGGCAGAGCGUUGGCGGAGCCUCAGAGCCGAUACAGCGCUGCGUCCUCUCCUCUGCGUCCGUCCGUCCUGCCUGCCUGCCUGCCUGCCUGGCGCUCUUCUUCUCCUCCUGCCUCCUCCUCCGCUUCUCCUGCCUCCUCCUCCUCCUCCUCGGCUCAUUAGUAACCAUGCAGAGCCUUCUGCCGCUUCUUCCCCUUCUUCCCCUCAGGAGGAGGCGAUUACGCAAGGCAGCAGCCCGCGCCUCAUCUGCAUACACUUACAUGCUGGGUAUUCCCCACAUUCCCCGGGAGCAGAAGCAGGAGGAGGAGGAGGAGGCUGGCCGCUUGGGCCGCUGCUCUCUCUCUCUCCCUCGUGGGGAGGGCAGGAAGCAGGUUAUUCCUUGGCUAGCAAAGGGUCGACUUCUCCCGUCUCUUCCUAUACCAGGCAUGGGCAAACUUCGGCCCUCCAGGUGUUUUGGACUUCAACUCCCACCAUUCCUAACAUGCCUGUUCUAUUCCGUGAGGGCAACGUUGGUUUUGGAUCCCGAGGUGGUUGGUAUCUUUCCCCACAUUAUGAUUAA
rnacentral:lncRNA from 1 species